UUUAUUACAGUAUCAGAAGCAUAAGAAAUGUUCGGAAUACGGCGUACGUUGAGUAUAUAAAAAAAUUUUCUCUUGUUUAUAAGUGUCGUCCCCUCAUGCGCGAAAAAAUGGAUAAAUAGCGUGAAAUAUUGCUUCCUGCGCUCAUUCUGCUCUGACCUCUAAAAGCGACCACAUCGUAUCAGAAGCAUAAUAAAUGUUCGGAAUACUGCGUACGUUGAGUAUAUAAAAAAAUUUUCUCUUGUUUAUAAGUGCGUCUGCGCAUGCGCGAAAAAUGGAUAAAUAGCGUGAAAUAUUGCUUCCUGUGCUCAUUCUGCUGUGACCUCUAGAGGCGACCACAUCGGUAAAUCGUAUUAUUUUAUGUAUUAAAUUUAUCUGGAAUAUACUUGUAUAGUUAUUCACACAAAUUUAUUGCAGUAUCAGAAGCAUAAGAAAUGUUCGGAAUACGGCGUACGUUGAGUAUAUAAAAAAAUUUUCUCUUGUUUAUAAGUGCGUCUGCGCAUGCGCGAAAAAUGGAUAAAUAGCGUGAAAUAUUGCUUCCUGUGCUCAUUCUGCUGUGACCUCUAGAGGCGGCCACAUGGUAUCAGAAGUAAACUAGAGAUUCAGAAUACUGUGCAAGUUGAGUUUAUAAAAGAAUUUUCUCUGGUUUAUAAGUGUCGUCCCCUCAUGCGCAAAAAAUGGAUAAAUAGCGUCAAAUAUUGCCUCCUGUUCUCCUUCUGCUGUGACCUCUAGAGGCGGCCACAUCGUAUCAGAAGCAUAAGAAAUGUUCGGAAUACGGCGUACGUUGAGUAUAUAAAAAAAUUUUCUCUUGUUUAUAAGUGUCGUCCCCUCAUGCGCGAAAAAAUGGAUAAAUAGCGUGAAAUAUUGCUUCCUGCGCUCAUUCUGCUCUGACCUCUAAAAGCGACCACAUCGUAUCAGAAGCAUAAUAAAUGUUCGGAAUACUGCGUACGUUGAGUAUAUAAAAAAAUUUUCUCUUGUUUAUAAGUGCGUCUGCGCAUGCGCGAAAAAUGGAUAAAUAGCGUGAAAUAUUGCUUCCUGUGCUCAUUCUGCUGUGACCUCUAGAGGCGACCACAUCGGUAAAUCGUAUUAUUUUAUGUAUUAAAUUUAUCUGGAAUAUACUUGUAUAGUUAUUCACACAAAUUUAUUGCAGUAUCAGAAGCAUAAGAAAUGUUCGGAAUACGGCGUACGUUGAGUAUAUAAAAAAAUUUUCUCUUGUUUAUAAGUGCGUCUGCGCAUGCGCGAAAAAUGGAUAAAUAGCGUGAAAUAUUGCUUCCUGUGCUCAUUCUGCUGUGACCUCUAGAGGCGGCCACAUGGUAUCAGAAGUAAACUAGAGAUUCAGAAUACUGUGCAAGUUGAGUUUAUAAAAGAAUUUUCUCUUGUUUAUAAGUGCGUCUGCGCAUGCGCGAAAAAUGGAUAAAUAGCGUGAAAUAUUGCUUCCUGUGCUCAUUCUGCUGUGACCUCUAGAGGCGGCCACAUGGUAUCAGAAGUAAACUAGAGAUUCAGAAUACUGUGCAAGUUGAGUUUAUAAAAGAAUUUUCUCUGGUUUAUAAGUGUCGUCCCCUCAUGCGCAAAAAAUGGAUAAAUAGCGUCAAAUAUUGCCUCCUGUUCUCCUUCUGCUGUGACCUCUAGAGGCGGCCACAUCGUAUCAGAAGCAUAAUAAAUGUUCAGAAUACUGUGCAAGUUGAGUAUAUAAAAAAAUUUUCUCUUGUUUAUAAGUGCGUCUGCGCAUGC